rnacentral:rRNA from 2 species
CAACCGGGAUUCCCCCAGUAACGGCGAGUGAAGCGGGAACAGCCCAGCGCCGAAUCCACCGUGGCUAACGCCCGGCUGGAACUGUGGCGUGUGGGACGCGGCCAGUCGGCUGGAAAGAUACCCGAGUCCCCCCGAGCGGGGCCCUUCCCAUAGCGGGUGCCAGGCCUCUGCCGGUAUCUAUCCGGUCGACCGCUGCAGUCUCUGGAGUCGGGUUGCUUGGGAAUGCAGCCCGAAGCGGGAGGUAAACUCCUCCUAAGGCUAAAUACCGGCGCGAGUCCGAUAGCGGACAAGUACCGCGAGGGAAAGUU